AGCGGAAUAGGUUAAAGUUUGACUGUUUGUUUUCAAAACAAAAGGUGGUAUAUAUAUUCUUUCGCUG
rnacentral:tRNA from 1 species